rnacentral:rRNA from 1 species
UACGUAGGGGGCAAGCGUUGUCCGGAUUUAUUGGGCGUAAAGAGCGUGUAGGCGGUUUGGUAGGUCCGCUGUGAAAACUCGAGGCUCAACCUCGAGACGCCGGUGGAAACCAUCAGACUAGAGUCCGGAAGAGGAGAGUGGAAUUCCUGGUGUAGCGGUGAAAUGCGCAGAUAUCAGGAAGAACACCCGUGGCUAAGGCGGCUCUCUAGUACGGUACUGACGCUGAGACGCGAAAGCGUGGGGAUCAAACAGG